GUACACGCUGUGACUAGCAUAUCAAUAAGCGGAGGAAAAGAAACUAACAAGGAUUCCCCUAGUAACGGCGAGUGAAGCGGGAAGAGCUCAAAUUUGAAAUCUUAAAGGGUUUCCCUUUACGAAUUGUAGUUUAAAGAAGUGUUUUCUGUUGAGGUUUUGGUAAAAGUUCUUUGGAAUAGGACAUCAUAGAGGGUGAGAAUCCCGUAUUUGACCUUUACUUUCAACUUUGUGAUACACUUUCGAAGAGUCGGAUUGUUUGGGAAUGCAGUCCAAAAUGGGUGGUAAAUUUCAUCUAAAGCUAAAUAUUGGCGAGAGACCGAUAGCGAACAAGUACCGUGAGGGAAAGAUGAAAAGAACUUUGAAAAGAGAGUUAAACAGUACGUGAAAUUGUCAAAAGGGAAGCGUUUGACACCAGUGUUGUUUUUCUGAAAAUCAAUUAAAGAACUGUUUAUGCUAAGCUGUUUAGACUUUAUCAGCUAUCUGUUUAGUCUUGAGCUUUUCUUUAAUGCACUUUUCAGUUAACAAGUCAACAUCAAUUUCUUUUGCUGUAAAAAAUGCUUGAGGAAGGUGGCUUGAGAUUCGUCUUAAGUGUUUAUAGCCUCUUGCCUAUGCAGUCGGAGAGAUUGAGGUCUGCAGCGUAGAUCCUUCGGGGCUAAAUGCAUUUGUGCUAAGUUAUAGCAUUUUAUAGACAACUUGUUGACUAUGAUUUGUCUUGUAGCUUACUCGCUUAUGUUAUUUUACCUACGCUUAGGAUGUUGAAGAUGUAGCACAUCAU
rnacentral:rRNA from 1 species